GACGAACGCUGGCGGCGUGCUUAACACAUGCAAGUCGAACGGUGACCCAUCUUCGGAUGGUGAUCAGUGGCGAACGGGUGAGUAACACGUGGGCAACCUGCCCCUAGCUCUGGGAUAACUCCUCGAAAGAGGUGCUAAUACCGGAUAUCACUUCCCUGGACAUCCAGGGUGGUUGAAAGUUUUUCGGCUAGGGAUGGGCCCGCGGCCUAUCAGCUUGUUGGUGGGGUAAUGGCCUACCAAGGCGUCGACGGGUAGCCGGCCUGAGAGGGUGUACGGCCACAUUGGGACUGAGACACGGCCCAGACUCCUACGGGAGGCAGCAGUGGGGAAUAUUGCACAAUGGGCGCAAGCCUGAUGCAGCGACGCCGCGUGGGGGAUGACGGCCUUCGGGUUGUAAACUCCUUUCGCUAGGGACGAAGCCUUUUAGGUGACGGUACCUGGAGAAGAAGCACCGGCUAACUACGUGCCAGCCGCCGCAGUAACAC
rnacentral:rRNA from 1 species